UUCCUGGAUUUGAGUGAGUGGUUCCUUUCCCAUGUUAGGGAAGUUUUUGGCUAUUAUCUCUUGGAAUAUUUUUUCUGUCCCCUUCUCUCUUCUCCUUCUGGCACCCCUAUAAUACGGAUAUUGUUCUGUUUCACGUUGUCCCAGAGUUCUCUGAGGCUCUCCUCAUUUGUUUUCAAUCUUUUUUCUCUUUUCUGUUCUGCAGCCGUAAUUUCCACUACUCUGUCCUCCACCUCGCUUAUUCGUUCUUCUGCCUCCUGUAUUCUGCCGUUAGCUGCCUCUAGUGAGUUUUUUAUUUCAGUUGUUGUAUUUUGCAUCUCUUCUUGUUUAAGUUUUACAUCUUGUAUCUCUUUGCUCAGUGUUUCCUGUACGUUAUCCAUCUUUGCCUCCAGUUUAUUUCCAAUGUCUUGCAUCAUCUUCAGCAUCAACAAUCUAAAGUCUUUUUCCUGGAGGCUGAGAAUCUCCUCAUUGCUUAGCUGAUUUUCUAGGGUUUUUUCCUUUCUCCCUCAUCUGAGUUAUAGUUCUCUGUCUUUUCAUUUUUAUAGGUUCUUGGUGUGGUGACCUUUUUCCAGAUAAUAGAGUUGUAGCCUCUCUCACUUCUGGUGUCUGCCCCCCUUGUGGCUGAAGUGGGUAUGGGGGCUUGCUGUAGGCUUCCUAGUGGCAGAGACUGAUGACUUCCCACUGGUAGGUGGAGCUGAUUCUUAUCCCUCUGGUUGGUGGGGCUUAGCCUCUGGAUGGGAUUAGAGGCAACUGUGUGCCUGAGGGGUCUUUAGGUGGCCUGUUUACUGAGGGAUGGGACUGUGAUCCAACCUGGAUUGUUGUUUGCCCUAGGGCUUCUCAGCACUGACUGACAGGUGGGGCCAGAUUUUCUCAAAAUGGCCACCUCCAGAGAAAGCAUGCUGCUGAAUAUUCCCAAGAGCUUUGCCUUCAGUGUCCUUCCCUCACAACAAGCCACAUUCACCCCUGUUUUCUCAGGAUGUCCUCCAAGAACUGAAGUCAGGUUUGACCCAGAUUCCUAUGGAGACCUUGCUCUGCCCUGGGACCCAGCGCACGUGAAAGUCCAUGUGUGUCUUUUAAGAAUGGGGUCUCUAUUUCCCCCAGUCCCAUGGAGCUCUUGUGCACAAGCCCCACUGGCCUUCAUUGCCAGAUGCUCCAGGGGCUCGUUCUCCCAGUGCCAGAUCCCCAUACAUGAGGGUUUGAUGUAGGGCUCAGAACUCUCACUCCUGCAGGUGAGUCUUUCUGAACCAGUUAGUUUCCAGGCUGUGGAGCUUCCCACCCGGGAGGUAUGGGGUUGUUUAUAUCAUGUAAUCACCCCUCCUAUCUCUUGAUGUGUCCUGCUCUUUUUCUUCUGGAGUAGGGUAUCUUUUUUAAGGUUUACAGUCCAUUUGGGUGGGGAUUGCUCAGCUUUUAGUUGUGAAUUUUGUUGUUUUUAGGAGAGAAGUUGAGCUCCAGUCCUUCUAUUCUGCCAUCUUAAUCCUCUCUCCUGAUACUUUAGCAAUUUUUUUUUCAAAAGGAAGCAAUAAAGUUUAAAAAAAGUUUGGACAGGAUGUAGACUGAACCAAUGUCAAGAGAGCCAUGCUCUGGUCUGGAUGAAGGCACUGACUUAUCGUGUACCUCUAGUUUCCCUGCCUUUAAAAUAAGAACAGCAAAACUUGCUUCUAUCAUCGUCAUGGGGAUAAUUGCAAGGAAAAAAUAAGGUAACUUCUAGGAAAAUCUCUUAUUUUUUAAGGAGAAGUACAAUGUGGUCUUUUUGGCCAUUUUAUGAAAUUCUUACUCCUGUUUUAAUUUAUAUUAAACUUUAAAAAAUAUAAAUGAAUAUUACUAGUCUGCCUUGAGGCCUGUCUCUGAUACCAGAAACUUGAAGGAUAGUCCCAAUUACACAAUCUGUAUGUCCUGAGAUGGAGUAUGAGACACGAUUUCUUUUAGGUGCUGGGAUGCCUGAUGACUAAGACAAAACAGUCCCCCUGGAAGUUUGUAUUCCAUGGAGUAGAAAGACUCUAUAUAAAUAAAUGAAUAUGCUCUCAGGUGUUGAUAAGUACUCUGGAGAGAAGAAUGCUGGAUAUUGAAUAGGAAAUGUUAGGGGAAAGGAUACUUUCACACAGAGUGGUAACAUAAGACCUUUCUGAAAUGGUGACAUAUGGGUUGAGACCUGAAUAUGGUGAGGGUUGAGACCUGAAUAUGGUGAGAACAGCUGCACCAUCCAAAGAUCUUAGAGAUGAACAUUCCAUGCAGAGGAACAAAGGCGUCUAAGACUCCUGAGGCCUUCAGGAGCAUGGAAAUAUGGAGGAAUUGAGGCUUACUGGACUGGACAGAAGCGAAGCGGGUAAAGAUCAGGCUGAAGAGGCAGCCAGGGGCCAGAUCAAACAAGGCUUUGCAAGCCAGGACAAGAGGUUGGCAUUUUAUUCUUAGUACAAAGGGAAGCCACUGGGGAAAAUAUGCAGAUUGUUAAAACAAAUUUCCUCAAUAUGACAGAAUUGGGUGUUUACUCAGCAUAUUACCCAGAAAACUUCACCCCAGUUCUUCUACAGAUUUCUCUGUCUCUCUCCCACCAAGAGUGAAACUGUUCCAAUGCCUUCCCCUUAAACACCUUCCUCUUCAGCACUGGCACACCUUGCUCUCAGCCCCCCUUGCUGAGUGUAGUCCCUUGGGACUAUAGUUUCUCUUCUCCACUCAUCUUCUUCCAGGGAGAAGCCUCACACUUUUCAAAAUAAGAAAAAUUCUGGUGAGUAAAAUUCUUUCACUCUGUAUACUCUCUACCUCCUUGAGCCUUUGCAGUCAUUUGCUAAGGGAUACAGUGUUUAUUUAUGGAUCCAGGAGGACUUCCUAUUUCUCACCUCAUGGCCCCAUCCUUUAAAUUCUACUCAAGGGCCUUUGGAGAUGCUCUUGGGUUAGGAAUGGCCAUGUGUUUCAGAAUUCAGUCCAUCAGUUCUGGGACCUAGCACAUAAAGAGCUGUCUGUGCCAAAUCUCUUGGGUUUAAUGAGGACCCCUCCAAUCCUCUCCAAGGAACAAGAUGCAAUUACUGGAUGAAAGGACUCACAGUAUAAGACUGCCACCAGUGAGUUGAUGUGGACCAUCCUCUCCCUUGCUAAAGUCCACAAGGUGGCCUGGGAUAGGUGGCACCCAUGGAGGCCAGGGCAAGAAUACAGUUACCUUCCAGAGGGAAUCCCCCAUUACUGCUUGUGGGGGCCAUGCUGAUAUGGGGUUCUCUGGCUUCAAGCAGCUGGAUCGCAGCUGUAUCCCUACAGAGUUUUCAAUUGGCUCUGCAGCCCCUUUCUCAGACUUGAGCAGCUUUGCAGACAGUGAGAAUAUAGCCUGUGUUUGUUCUUUGUUUUUGUUUGUUUGUUUGUUUUGCUAUUUAGGGCAACACCUGUGGAACAUGGAAGUUCCCAGGCUAGGGGCAGAAUCGGAGCUGCAGCUGCAGCCUAUACCAUAGCCACAGCUAUGCAGAAUCAGAGCCACAUCUGUGACCCAUACCACAGCUCACAGCAAUGCUGGAUCCUUAACCGACUGAGCAAGGCCAGGGAUUGAACUCACAUCCUCAUGGGUACUAGGUGCGUUCAUUACCACUGAGCCAUGAUGGGAACUCCUAGCCCAUGUUCUUUCAUCCAAUGAAGCCUAAGAUUAUUCAAUAAUAUUUGACUGUUAAUUGUUCCCAUAAUAACUUAAUCUGGAACUCCUAGCCUUCCAGACUUGGUGUACUGUAACAUCCGGGAUAGCCCUUCAGGAGCAUUCUUCCAAUUCUUUACAUGCAGAACAGAACUUCCCCUUCUUUGCCUUCUCUCUGAGGUACGGUUAGGAAUUUGACAUCUGAGUCCCAAUAUCUAGUAACAUCAUUAUGCUAUCCUGCUUUAAGUCAGUAAGAAAAUGUGCCACCGAAGUUGUGUUUUUAUUACUUUCUUGUGGGGAAGCACGAAGGUUGCCUAAAGAAAAAUUCUGAAUGAUCUUUCACAUAGGCAUUUCUCAGUAAUUCUAACUUUAAAAUCAACUUGACCCAUAUUUCUAUAUAUCUCUAGUUGUGUUUUCAAAAGCAUCAGGGUUCCUGUCUGAAAUAUCAGGCACCUUUAUAUCCUGAGUCUAUGAGGUAAGUCAGUCAUAAUGAAAACGCACAAUUAGCUUAGCUUUUUAUCUAAGCCGUUGCUGGAUACCUUUUGCUGAUCCUGAACAAGUAGUCCUAAAUAUCUCCUGAUUAUAUAGCACUGCCCCAAAAGUCCUAUUAAUGCACCCACAGAAACAAAAAGCCAUAUAGAGUUCCCUUGUGGCACAGCAGGUUAAGGAUCCAAUGUUGUCACACAGUGGCUUGUUCACUGCUGUGUCACAGGUUCAUUCCCUAGCAUGGCAACUUCCACAUGCCAUGGGUGUAGCCAAAAGAUAAAAACAAAAACAAAACACCAUAAUUUCAAUUCCAGAAAACCACUGAAAUAAUGUAGAUUCCUGAAAGAAAUUCUGUGGAAGAUUUUCUUUGUUUGUUUUACUCUUUUAGUAUUUUGCUAUGUAUUAAAUUUCAUAAAUAUACAAAUAAGUAGGGUUUUUCUUUUGUUUGUUUUGUUUUGUUUUUGGCCACACUUGAGGCAUGCAGAAGAUCCCCGGACCAGGGAUUGAACCUGAGUCACCCAGUGACAGUGCCAAAUCCUUAACUGCUAGGCCACCAAGAAGUUCCGUAAGGAGGAUUUUAAUCAAUCCACCAUGGUGAAAUUAUCUUAAGAAUCCUUCUUUAGGGAGUUCUCUUGUGGUACAGUAGGUUAAGGAUCCCACUUUUUCACUGUUGCAGCUCUAAUCACUGCUGUGAUAUAGGUUCAAUCACUCACCUGGGAACUUCCACAUGCCAUGGGUACAGCCAAAAAACAACAACAACAAAAGAAUCAUUCUUUAGAUAUUUAUGACUUCCUCCAAAGUUCCAUGUUCAAAGCAGUCACUCAGAUUUUUUGCCUUCUCUGUCAUCUAUACUCCUCUGAGCUUACCUCCAUUGUCUUUGCACAGUUCUGCUUAGCCAUGCCUUGAUUUGCACCUAGGUCACCCUCUGACAUACAACUACCCAUGGGAACUGUGGGCCCUUUUCUGUUCUGAUUGCUUCUCUUGUGAGCCGUCUCCUUUUCCCUCUUUCCACCCACACCUCCACAAUU
rnacentral:lncRNA from 1 species